rnacentral:piRNA from 1 species
AAUGAUAGUUGGGAAGAAAACUUUGCA